UCUAUGAUUCUAUCUAUAUAUAUCUCAUCUCUUAUCUUCUAUUAUAUGUACCCUUGAAGGAUGAAGCUCUAAUUGACCUAACACCCUAGGUGCAGGAAAUUCGUUUUCUUUUUCUUUUCUUUUUUCCCCUUUUUCAAAACAACUCUUCUCUCACCACCCGGAGUGUUCGGCGUUCUCAUGUUGCAAGUCGUUUCGAUGAUUAAAGGGAAAGAAAAAUCAAGUUUAAGGAGCAUUGGCGCAGGCCAUCUUACUUAUGAAAUGGAAAUGGUUAGUUGGGUUAGGGUUGGCUUGCAGUUGCAUAGGGUCCAUUAUUGACAGUCUCUCCAGUCCUCAGACGCCCAUUUCUUUUCCUUGGCAGACGAAUUAAGAAGAGUGUGCCUUGUCAUUGCAUUGGCCUUGAUUCCAUUCUCUAAUAUAUAGAUAUAGCUUUGCUUCCAGGCUCAGGCUCAGGCUCCUGCAUUUGUAGUGUUAAAAUUUUAAUUUCUUCAAGUGGAGUCAGCUGUCAGCCCCCAUCUGAUGAAAUGAAACAAUUUACGAUGCUCUGCAAGACAUGGUAAAGGCUAAAGGCUCCAUGUUGGUACGAUGAGAGCAAGUAGUAAGAGAGCAAUGAAAGCUAGCAGUGUAAGUAAAAUACUAAUAUUGAUGCCUCUUGACUGCUUGUUUCAUGAAAUUUCCAUUUGCAAUUUCAGUGAGACAGUGAAUGGUUUGGUGCACGUGUUGGCAUGUGUAUGUUUGGCCGCUGCACACUGCUGGACUGCUCACACCUCGAAAUUUGACAAUAGCUAGAAGCAUGACCAUCACUAGCCAAUAGCAGAAGCGGUAAAGUUACUUUCUCGCCAUGUUAAGGUUCAAUCCGCUUCGAUUUAAUUUUCCCUCUCCCCAAAUAACUUGAAUUUAAUCUUGGUUUGAUAUGCCUUUUAUCAAUAUCCAUGGUUUUAACAUAAACAAAAUUCUUAUCUUCCAUUUCAAGGAUCCUUUAAUUGGACAUUUUCCAUCGAUAUAAAUUGUGGUUGUGAUGGAUGUUUUAAAUUUAGGCUUAUAGAAACUAUAAGUUGAUAAGAACAUAUGUUCCUUUGACAAAACUCUACAAGAGUAUCUUGAUAAAGAUUUAUCUGUUACUCCUCUUGGACAAAAUAGUGGAAAAUAUCAAUACUCGGAGGAAUACACAUCUUCCAUGAGCAAAGUCUAUUGAAGACACAGCUUUAGAUAUUCCAAAAUCUCUACAAACUUCAUCAAAAUGAAGAAAAUUAAGAUUACUCUAUGUUAUGAAUCAACAGAUAGCAUAUGAUAUACCGAUUGAAAGAUUAAUAUGUUGUCUAUCAAGUUCAAUUGGGGAGAUACUUUGUCUUGAGCAUCGGAGCUGAUGACUCUCAAAAGAUAGAGACAUAGAUGCGAUUGACUGGAUUGAUAGUACAUUAAACUGGACUUAAGAAGAAUAAACCUUGAAUCUGUUUAUGGAUUUAUUCACUUGUGACAUUCAUAGUGUGACAUGCCUAAAUCCUGAGUGGAUGACAGACUAUGUAUGCUCGUACACUUUGAUGUAAGUAAAAAUUUGAUUUCAAAUAGAUAAUAAAGAACUGAAAGCUAGUGUGUUGGGUGACUUUUGCAGUAUGUAGCAUUGUUCACAACAGUGAAAUUCAUAGCUCGGGACAUGGGUAAAUGAUAUUUUCUCAUUGGCAUUACAUGGUUGAUGAAAAGUAAAUGUGGCCACAGAUCGU